AAAUGAGAGUCAUGGUGACCCACAGUAUUUAUUUUGGGGAGUCCUUUUCAAUAUCUGGGAGUCAUGAAAAUUUUAGCGUAAUAUUUAUGUGUUUGAAUCAUUCUC